rnacentral:tRNA from 1 species
CAAGAUGUAGUUUAAUUAAAAUUUUAAUUUUGGAGAUUAAAGAAAAUAUAAUUAUAUUUAUCUUGA